rnacentral:lncRNA from 1 species
UCAAUCAAAAAGGAGAUCAGAAAUCCUAAAAUCAAUGUUGUCAUUUAUGUAUGCCCAUUUGGCCUUCUUUCAUCAAGGAUAUGAUCUGUUUAGUGAACUUGGACCCUACAUGAAGGAUCUUGGUGCACAGUUGGAUCGACUGGUUGUGGAUGCAGCAAAGGAGAAAAGAGAAAUGGAGCAAAAACAUUCCACCAUUCAACAAAAGGUACCUCAGGGGAAAAAUUAAAAAUUAAUUCCACUUUAUACAAUGGCUUGGGUGUUGGUUUAUGCAAGGUAUCAUUGUAUUGGAACAAAUCUUUUGAGUUGUUCUAAUAAUUGUGCAGAUAAAUUCCUCUUUUGUUUUUGAAGAGCAAAAUGUUCUUCAGAUUUUAAGGUAUGUAUUUUGUUAUUUUUUCAGAUCUUUGAAAGCUAUGCUUCUUGAACCAGUUUAUAAAAAUUUGAAUCUCUUAGGAACUUAACUAAGCUAAAAGUGGCCUUUAGUUAGAAUUCAAAACACUAUUCAUAAUUACAUUUAGGAUACCACCAACUCCCUGUAAAAGUGUGUGUCCGUGUGUGUGUUGUGGGGCAGAGGGUGUGGAUGCACCUUAGUGUCAACAUGCGUGUUUGGUCUUACAGACUUUCCAACUGCAGUCACUGCAAGGCAGCCUUUCCUCUCUGUCACGAGAUGCUAAAACUUCACUUGCAUUGCCUGUUAAAUUGUCUAAGCCUAGCUAAACUUACUUUGAAAAUAUUUUUAAAAAUGAGAACUCAAAUAUUAA